rnacentral:miRNA from 1 species
UGACGUUGUUGCAGGCAUGGAU